UCCAGCGGUGUGUUGGUGCGUUGAUUU
rnacentral:piRNA from 1 species